GAUGAACGCUGGCGGCGUGCCUAAUACAUGCAAGUCGAGCGAACGGACGAGAAGCUUGCUUUUCUGAUGUUAGCGGCGGACGGGUGAGUAACACGUGGAUAACCUACCUAUAAGACUGGGAUAACUUCGGGAAACCGGAGCUAAUACCGGAUAAUAUUUUGAACCGCAUGGUUCAAAAGUGAAAGACGGUCUUGCUGUCACUUAUAGAUGGAUCCGCGCUGCAUUAGCUAGUUGGUAAGGUAACGGCUUACCAAGGCAACGAUGCAUAGCCGACCUGAGAGGGGGAUCGGCCACACUGGAACUGAGACACGGUCAAGACUCCUACGGGAGGCAGCAGUAGGGAAUCUUCCGCAAUGGGCGAAAGCCUGACGGAGCAACGCCGCGUGAGUGAUGAAGGUCUUCGGAUCGUAAAACUCUGUUAUUAGGGAAGAACAUAUGUGUAAGUAACUGUGCACAUCUUGACGGUACCUAAUCAGAAAGCCACGGCUAACUACGUG
rnacentral:rRNA from 1 species